rnacentral:rRNA from 2 species
GGGUUUNGNUCGUNAAACUCUGUUGUNNANGAAGACNNAUCUGAGAGNACUNUCAGGUAUUGACGGUAUUUAACCAGAAANCACGGCUAACUACGUGCCAGCAGCCGCGGUAAUACGUAGGUGGCAAGCGUUGUCNGGAUUUAUUGGGCGUAAAGCGAGCGCAGGCGGUUUUUUAAGUCUGAUGUGAAAGCUUUCGGCUCAACCGAAGAAGUGCAUCGGAAACUGGGAAACUUGAGUGCAGAAGAGGACAGUGGAACUCCAUGUGUAGCGGUGAAAUGCGUAGAUAUAUGGAAGAACACCAGUGGCGAAGGCGGCUGUCUGGUCUGUAACUGACGCUGAGGCUCGAAAGUAUGGGUAGCAAACAGGAUUAGAUACCCUGGUAGUCCAUACCGUAAACGAUGAAUGCUAAGUGUUGGAGGGUUUCCGCCCUUCAGUGCUGCAGCUAACGCAUUAAGCAUUCCGCCUGGGGAGUACGGCCGCAAGGCUGAAACUCAAAGGAAUUGACGGGGGCCCGCACAAGCGGUGGAGCAUGUGGUUUAAUUCGAAGCUACGCGAAGAACCUUACCAGGUCUUGACAUACUAUGCAAAUCUAAGAGAUUAGACGUUCCCUUCGGGGACAUGGAUACAGGUGGUGCAUGGUUGUCGUCAGCUCGUGUCGUGAGAUGUUGGGUUAAGUCCCGCAACGAGCGCAACC